CAAUCUAGAAAUUGGUUUUGACCCGAAUUCCCCUUCACGAUUCCUUGGCUUUCUUCUUCCUUUUUGCAAAACAGGCAUUCUCACUUUAAACCCUAGGUUCAGCCGUUUCCCCUGUAAUUGGCUAUUGAAGCUUCAUCUGGGCAUUCGGGUAUGCUUUUGAAGCCCCGUUUUAUUUACCGCUCUAAAGGUUUAAUUUGGAUAUAUUUAUAACCUUCUUUUUUGGUCGUUGUUUAAUCUCAAACCCUAAAUUCACAUAUACUGUCUCAAACCACGAUUCUGAUUCAAUCGUGAUUUCGGAUUCAAGCGAUCUUCUCUGAUUCAAGCUUUGGUGAUCGAAUGUGUUGUGUUUUGAUGUCUUCAUAAUCCAUUUCACAUUUUCGGGUUUGAUUAGGAUUUAUUUUUAUUCAGAUUUCGUUUUUUUUUUUCGAAUUAGUUUCAGUUAGGCCUUUUUUUUCCAGAUUUAUUACAUUGAUUUGCUCAGACUAGGGUUUGUUUCUGAUCAAUUGUUUUCAUUGAUUUUAUUUUAUUUUUGAUGUUUAUCUUACCGUUCGAUUCCUCUCCAUCAAAUUUUUUUUUGUUAAGAUUAGGGUUUUUUACCCAUCUGUUUUGAGAUUUGGUUUUUGGUUUUGGUUUUGGUUUUGGUUUUGGUUUUGGUUUUGGUUUUGGUUUUGGAAGUUGUUUAUAGGAAUAUGUGUAGCGAUUCAUCAUCUACUACAAUUCAAGAAGCUCGUGGCUUAAAUGACGAGAUUUAUGACUGCAAUCACCAUCUUGGCAAUCAGGAACGUCUUCAAAACAUUCAGAUUUACCAAAGGUCCGUUCUGAUUUAGGGUUCACCGAUACGAUUGUCACUGGUAAGGCUCUUUUAUUGUUGUGAUCAUUUAAACAUAUCAACAGGUGAGUAAUCUCUGAUUCUUUGUGCUCUUUUUUGCGGUUUUAACUAUUACAAUGGUUUAUGUGACAACUUUUCUGGACUCAUCAUCUAAAGUACAGGUCUACCUAUGAGUUUUUGAAUUCUUUUUUUAACCAGGGUUAUUCUUGUCCAUUUGAUAUAUAAAAAGAAUUAAAAAAUUCCAAGUGAGUUAAGGUUGAUUAGUCACCCUUAUAAAGGGUUUUAAUUGGUAAUCCGAUUGAACUGGUCUGAUGAUUAUGGCUUCUUAAUGCUUUCUUUGCAGUAAUUACCUUCUUCUAUUUGGGAUGUGAAGAAGUGCAUUUGUUGCCUAUGUUAUUAUUGUUUUCUGGGCUUUAUAGUUUGAAUUCAAAUUCAUAGUUGUAUUUAACAAUACAAGCUUUAGAGGGAAUGAUCACUACCAAGGAUUAUGAUUUAAGAUCAUGUUUCUCAGGUGAGUUUGCUUCACAAAUCUUUGAGUUAUAAAAUUCACCACUUGAUGUAUCUAAAUUGUGAUUUUUGAAUUCACCAGUUUGUUAGUGUGUGGUUCCCUAAAAAUAUAAUCACGUUUACUUAUGUAUUACAUUUUUUUUUCAGGUUCCCUACUUGAAAUUGUUCUGUAUUAAACGCAUCCAUAAACAUAUAGAGAGAUAGAUGGAUAGGGCGCGUUUAAUAUUCAACUAAGUUGAGAACUGGAAACCUUUUGCAAGGGUCGCUUUAUUUUGUGGAUAUUAAUAUUUUAUACAAGAACUUUAAUUAGCUCUUUUAUAACAACCUCUUUUUACUGAAAUAAACGAACAGACCAUAAUAGGCUAGGCUGAGAUGAUUCCAAAAUUACAACAUUUGUUUGAUAUUGGUUUUUAAUAUGUUUUUCUUCAAUUCGUGCCAUUUGUUUUUAAUACUAAUUACAACUUUGUUCAUUUUAGGUCAGACAUGCACUUUGAGCUAUACUUUCUUGAAAUUGUGCUAUGGAUUAACGCUUCAAUCUUUGACACCUAUAUCAAAUCUGUCUUUAACUUUUUAAUUAUCUUUUGGCACUGUACUUGAGUUUUUUUUUUUUUUUUUUUUGUUAUUAAUAAAAAAGAACGGGUAUCGCCAACCCAUUCGUAACAUUAACCCGUCAACCCGGUUACAACUUGAUUACAAGUUUACAAACUUCUCACAACUUUCCAUGCUUUCUAAUUUCCAUGAUUACCUUAUGAUAUAUAUAUUGUUUAUCUAUAACCUUUUUGAUCAGGUAUCUAUGUUAAAGAACCUCCUUUAUAGCCUUUUUUUGCUAUUUAUCUAACAUACUUAUCUCCAGUAACUAUACUUACGAAGUUUGGCCAAUCAUGGAAAGUAAGUCUAUAACAACUUAAUAGUACGUUUGCUUUCACUAAAAGAUGGUUAAAAUAUGUGUAGGAUCUUGGAAUGGCAUUCGGGAGCUUUGGUGUGUUUUAAGUAAUUCUUAACCCCACCGAUAACAUGAACUAUUCUCAUCAUGAUCCGUCCCCACAACUUGAUUAUUUAGUCCACCAAGUCUUACUCAAACCAUUUGGGUAGUAGAUAAUCAUCAUCUUUUUGCAAGUAAUAAAUAAUAAUUAUCUAUUUUGCUUGCAGUGGUGGCUAUAACUUCAAAGAGGAGCGGUUGUUAAACAGAGCUUAUGAAAUUUGAUAUGGGAGGCUUAGUUGCGGAUUUAGGCGAUGCAAAAGCUAUUGGUCAAAUAAAACCGCUUGGUGUAGAGGUAAAAAUAUUUUAAUUUUUCUAUAACAAUUCACUUAUUUACCAGGGUGUUUCGUACCGGAUUUGCAUCCGGCACCGGUAAUACCGGUAUAACCGGCCGGUAUUUACCAGUUUUUAGAAACACUGAUGCCAACCUCCAUUUGAUAACUGAAUCACAACAACAUUGUUCACCGUGAUCUUUAAUUUGUGCGGUAAGAUUUUAUUUUUGACUCUUUUCCACCAUUGAUCUAAAAUCUGGUAUACUUAUUUAGCUUUAUGACAGGUAAAAAAAUUCUUGCAUUUUGAUUACAUCAAUGCUUCAGGUUGCUACUUUGGAUUGCUACGCAAUAGGCUUUAUAUGUGGCUAAAAGGAUUUAGGUGAAAUCUCGGGUGGUUGCAGCUAUAUAAAUGAGAUAAAUUGACUGAUGAUUUUUUUGUUUAAGUGUUUCUUUUACAUUUGUUUCCUAAUUUACACUUCAAUUUUAGAGCAGUUGCCUAUUACCUAGGCUGUACAUGAAAUAUUGGUUGCAAAUAAUUCGAAAUAUAUGCUUUGUAAAAGUCA